AUGCGCCUCGUCACCAUCCUAUUCCCGCACCUGCCGAUCCCGGCGCACCGCAGACGCGACACGGCACGCGCUAGGCUCUGCGAGAUAUUCUCCGGCAUCGUCAGCUCCCGCAAAACAAGCUACCCCGACGGUGGCCCAAACGACAUGCUGCAGUGCCUGAUCGAUUCCAGGUACAAAGACGGCCGUGCCACCACCGAGACGGAGGUCGUCGGGAUGGUGGUCUCGGCGCUGUUCGCAGGGCAGCACACAAGCUCCAGCACGGGCACAUGGACCGGAGCGCGCCUGCUCGCGCGUGCCAACGCCAAGCACCUGCGCGCUGCCGUCCAGGAGCAGGAGCGGAUCGUGGAGCGGCUCGGGGACCGCGUGGACUACGAGGUCCUGCAAGAGAUGGACACCCUCCACCGCUGCAUCAAGGAGGUUCUGCGGCUUCACCCGCCGGCCAUGAUGCUGCUGCGCCACGCGCGGCGGAGCUUUACCGUGCGGACCAUGGAGGGCGACGAGUACCAAGUCCCGGAGGGGCAUACGGUCGCGAGCCCGCUGGUGAUCCACAACCGUCUCCCGCACGUGUACAAGGACCCGGAGAGGUACAAGCCGGACCGGUUCGGCCCCGGCAGAGGGGAGGACGCGGCCGGCGGAGCAUUCUCGUACACGGCUUUCGGUGGUGGGCGGCACGCCUGCGUAGGCGAGGCGUUCGCGUACAUGCAGAUCAAGGUGAUAUGGAGCCACCUACUGAGGAACUUUGAGAUGGAGAUGGUGUCGCCGUUCCCUGAGACGGACUGGAACGUGGUCAUGCCGGGGCCCAAGGGGAAGGUCAUGCUCCGCUACAACAGGAGGAUGUCAACGACCGCUUAA
rnacentral:rRNA from 1 species